rnacentral:piRNA from 1 species
UUAUCUCUACAUGACAUUUCUCA